rnacentral:rRNA from 1 species
GACGAACGCUGGCGGCGCGCUUAACACAUGCAAGUCGAGCGAGAACCAGGGCUUCGGCCCUGGGGAAAGCGGCGAACGGGUGAGUAACACGUGAGUAACCUGUCCUCGGCACCGGGAUAGCCCGGGGAAACCCGGAUUAAUACCGGAUGGCCUUUCGAGUCUUCGGGCUCGUCAGAAAAGGGAAGCUUCGGCCGUCCGGCCGAGGAGGGACUCGCGGCGGAUUAGCUUGUUGGUGGGGUAACGGCUCACCAAGGCGACGANCCGUAGCUGGUCUGAGAGGAC